CUUAGCUCGAGCUUGUUGAGCCUCGAUGUGAGAAUCUCAACAAGUUCAAAACGGAGCUUUUUUUUAAUGAGGGUUUUGGAGUGAUUUUUCCAGAGUAACGGUGCAGAAAUUCGGAUCCCUCUUCAGUGGAUUUCACUCCCUUCUUAUAGAGAGGUGGUACGAGGUUCAUACGUCCUUAUCCUUCAUGAGCUGGCAAAUCUAUUCAGAAUCAUUCUGUUAGAGAGGAAUUUUUGGGCUGGAUUUGGUGGGGACCAAGGUAUGUGAGUCAUUUUCCUGUUUUGUCUGUAGUGAAAUCCUUCCAAAAACGUGUGGCCUUUUGUUGAACUUUUCACUGCCUCUUUACUGCUGUAAAACACAUGCUUGUCAAAUUAUUUACUCUUCUGUAAAAUGGAAUUUUUAACUGAUGCUUGACCUUUAAUCAUUUCUUACAUACAACGGCUUUCUAAUGUCAGUCCCAUUUGGUUAUGGAUGGUGACAGGACCGUUAAUUUGAGCUGGUACGCAUUCAUCUUGAGAUAAUACGUAGCGGAUGUCGGUUUUGUUGCUAUCACAGUGUGCUGUCACCAAUUCUCGUAUUGAUGUGAAUUGUUCUUCAGGUUGGUAAUUCGGAUGGAAGCAAGGCAGUGCAUACUGAUCAAGGUGAAAUGCUGCCUUUAUGUUGCAGGUCACAAUAUGACUCCCUCCUACCAGGUUUGUUAUUUUGUACUAUCGUAUAUGACUGCAAUUUGAAAUGCUCGAUUGUUGUGUGUUAUUGCCUUUAUACUGAAGUGCAUUGAUACUUGCAAUGUCUUUGAUGUAUGCUGCUGGACUAGGUUGAAAAUUGAUCAUUGAAUAUGCUAACUGAUAUGCCUUGGAAUUUUCUUGUGAGGAUUGCUGAGACUUUUGUUGAACCUUCCUUUGAUGCUGGAUUUAUACUUCGACAAUAGGUACCUUGGUUUAAUCUUGGUAUGUGGCUAAUUCUUCUUGCUGCAGGUCGGGUUCUCCAGUUAGGCCUGUUGAUUCCAUGGUUAUGUUGAACAUGUUGUCUCGACCAAGGUUUCCUCAUCCAUUGGCUUGUAUUUCAAAGUUCUGAAGCGGGUUUGUGGCAGAACUGCUCAAGGUGCUUGCCAUCCUAUAUGUUCUGUUUAUUCAUCGUGAUGUUGUACUGAUGCAUUGUGGGGUGUGAACCGUGUGACAAAGGAUACGCAGUGGCCCCUCUGCUGCAGAAGACCUGCAGACUUGCAGUUGCUUGGCCAAGGCGGAUUGCAGCCCUCUUUGAUGUUUGGUGGUCAGAAUGCUGUGGUUCGUGAUGUCGAAAUGCGGUUCCAUUGUUUGUAGAAGCACACGCAUUGUAUUGUAAUGAGUAUGUACAAGUUUCAAGCCUGUUUCAAUUACGGUGUGUUUUGAUCAUGCCGGUUUUAUA